UUUCAUAACGUUUCUUUUCUAUAAACUUCACAUCUUUCUCUUAAGCUCACUUCAAUAUCAAUCAAUAAUAUUAAAUUUUAAAAUUAAAAAAAAAAAAGAAAAGCUCUAUGCGUUUUUGUUUACUAGAGAAUGCUAACUGGUUUAUACAAAAAUCUUCAGAAGCUUGAAAAGUCUUAAACGGCAAGUCGUUUUUCAAAUCUGAGAAUUUGGAGGAGUGAUUUAUGAAUGAGUUUGCUGUGAAUUUGAUUUCCUGAUUCAAAAUUUCUUUGGUUUUCGUCUCGACUAAAAUGUCAGGAUUUGAAGGGCAGUGUAGUAAUGAUGAAAUUAGGGAGAGGAGGUCAGAUGUUGAGUAUUCGGAAGAUGAUAGGCGGCAAUAUUCUAAAAUCGGAACACUCAGGAAGAAGGCAAUGAAUGCUUCUUCCAAAUUCACUCAUUCCCUUAGGAAAAGAGGAAAAAGGAAAAUUGAUUAUAGGGUUCCAAUUCCAUCAGUGUCUAUAGAAGAUGUCAGAGAUGCACGAGAGGAGUCCGCAGUACAUGAAUUGCGCCAAAGACUCAUUGAAAGGGGAUGUUUGCCUCCCAGGCAUGACGAUUAUCAUACAUUGCUUAGGUUUCUUAAAGCUAGGGAUUUUGAUAUUGAGAAGACAAUUCAGAUGUGGGAAGAAAUGCUUAUGUGGCGGAAAGAAUACGGAACUGAUACAAUUCUCGAGGAUUUUGAAUUUGAAGAGCUAGAAGAAGUACUGCAGUAUUAUCCUCAAGGUUAUCAUGGAGUCGAUAAGGAAGGUAGGCCCGUUUACAUUGAGAGGCUUGGGAAAGCUCAUCCAAGCCGCCUGAUGCACAUCACCACAAUAGAGCGAUAUUUGAGAUACCAUGUCCAGGAGUUCGAGAGAACUCUGCAAGAGAAAUUUCCAGCAUGUUCUGUUGCAGCAAAGAGACAGAUUUUUUCGACAACAACAAUAUUGGAUGUACAGGGCUUGGGAAUGAAAAAUUUCUCGCGUACUGCGGCAAAUAUUUUGGCUUCCAUGGCCAAAAUAGAUAGCUGUUACUAUCCUGAGACAUUACAUAAAAUGUAUAUCGUCAAUGCUGGCACUGGCUUUAAGAAGAUGCUUUGGCCUGCUGCACAAAAGUUUCUUGAUCCCAAAACUAUUUCAAAGAUACAGGUUCUCGACUCGAAGUCUCUAUAUAAAUUACAGGAAGUCAUUGACUCUAGUCAGUUGCCCGACUUUCUCGGUGGUUCAUGUACAUGUUCUAGAGAAGGUGGAUGUCUUAGGUCCAACAAGGGUCCAUGGAAUGAUCCUGAUAUCGUGAAGCUAGUACGUAAUGUGGAGGCAACUUUUGUGAGGCAAAUCACCAGGGCGUCCAAUGAACAGCACAGUUUUGACUCCUUUCAGCUACACUCACGGAAGGGGCGAUGCAGUGACUCGUCAGCAGAAUCAGGGUCUGAUUUUAAUGAUUACUCAUCUCCUACCAGACAAAGGAGCUGCAAUUAUCCCCGUUUAGCGCCAGUUUGUGAAGAAGUCAAGGUAGCAGAUGUCAAUGGCUACUACAGCUGUGAUGAUAGUGCUCUAUCAGCUCAGAAUGUGAUAGAAAAUGAUCAACGUUGCCUUACUCGAGAGCAGUCAUUGCAAACUAAUGACAUGGAGAGUGUUGCUUAUAGGACGAAUUCUGAAGGUUCUUCUGUGAGCAAUUUGUUCAGCAUUAUUAAGGAAAAAUUAGAGAGAAUAAAUUUCUUAUAUGUACCACAAGUGCUGACAUCCUUCAUGGAAAGACUCAUUGCGUUCAUCUGUAAUGUAAGAUUUGAGGUUUGGAGAACACAGAACAUUGUUCACCCAUCAAAUUCCACCGAACGCAACAUUAAUAAUCAUUCAGUAGCUAUUGAAGCAAGUACUGAACGAGAUUAUAUUCUUCCUUGCGAACAACGUCUUCAGAGGCUAGAAAACGUAUUUAACGAACUUAACAACAAACCUGACGGCAUGCCUUUGGAGAAGGAGCAAAUGCUUAUGGAUUCUUUGGAUAGAAUAAAGUGCGUUGAGUUUGACCUUGAGAGAACAAAGCGGGUGCUACAUGCUGCGGUGAUGAAGCAGCUUGAAAUUACCGAUUUACUGGAGAACAUGCAGCAGUCAAAGUUUCGACAAAGAAGGCUGUUCUGUUGAAUCAGAAAUCCUUUAAAUGUCAGAUAUCAGACAAGCUUGCACACAGUCGACCGGUAGUUCGACCCAAGGAAGCCCGAGGCGAGGGAAUAGACAAUUCAAACCUAAUGAGUUGCUAAACAUUGCAUACAUACAUACUAGAGAGAGAUCCAUGAGAAUUCGAAUUGCUCAGGAAAUAACCACACCACCCAGAAUUUGUUAAGAUCAAGACCAACAUCAACAGCUGCAGCAAUAGUCUCUCUCUAAGCACAAACAACAGCAAAAAAGGAGGAGGAGGAGGUAAUGGUUGAAAAUUUUCAAAGAGUUGAAGGACAUUUUCAUCAAAUUAAGGUGCAACUUGAUGUUCAUGGGAUAUAACUGAAUAAAUCUUAGCCAAGUGAGCAUAAGGACGAAGAGAUUGAACAUUAGACAUGAUUAAAUCAAGAGUCACCCU